GUUAAAGUAGCUCAGUUGGGAGAGCGUUAGAUCGAAGAUCUAGAGGUCCCUGGUUCAAUCCCAAGCUUUAGCA